rnacentral:misc_RNA from 1 species
AGAGAGGAGAGAGAGAGAGCGGGGGGACGAGGAGAGAGAAAGCGGGGGGGACGAGGAGAGAAAGGCCGACUGAGGUCUGCUGUAUGUCAGAUCGUAGCCAGGGCUACUACGGCGGAUUCGGUGAGCUCGCGAACCCCAAGCAAUGGCCACAACUGAGGAAAAAGCGACGGAUUGCUGCGGUGCUGUCCUUGUCGCCGCCGGUAGCCCCGGGGGAGCUGGGAAGGGGAAAUCGGCGGCGGCAGCGGCGGGCGGCGGGGACUGGAAGCCGGCGGAUGGGAAGAGAUCGGCCGCGGCGGCGGCCAUGACGACGGUGAUCGGACCGGUUGAGGGCCUCGCCGAGGCUCCUGCUAAGGGGAUUCAGAUAAUGAUGAGGGCUCAGUCAAGCCACCCUUUAGAUCCAUUAUCUGCUGCCGAAAUUUCAGUUGCAGUAGCAACUGUCAGGUCUGCUGGUGCAACUCCCGAGCUGAGAGAUAGCAUGCGAUUUGUUGAAGUUGUUCUGCUGGAACCAGAAAAACAUGUUGUAGCGUUAGCCGACGCUUAUUUCUUCCCUCCUUUCCAGCCAUCACUACUUCCCAGAACAAAAGGUGGGCCUGUCAUUCCCAGUAAACUACCACCUAGGAGAGCUAGGCUUGUUGUCUACAACAAACGAUCAAACGAGACAAGCAUUUGGAUUGUUGAACUGUCUGAAGUACAUGCGGCAACUCGUGGUGGCCAUCACAGAGGCAAGGUUAUCUCGUCAGUAGUUGUUCCUGAUGCCCAACCUCCUAUGGACGCUGUGGAGUAUGCUGAAUGUGAGGCGGUUGUUAAAGAUUACCCACCAUUUGAAGAGGCAAUGAAAAGAAG